AUUGAACGCUGGCGGCAGGCCUAACACAUGCAAGUCGAGCGGAUGAAGGGAGCUUGCUCCUGGAUUCAGUGGCGGACGGGUGAGUAAUGCCUAGGAAUCUGCCUGGUAGUGGGGGAUAACGUCCGGAAACGGGCGCUAAUACCGCAUACGUCCUGAGGGAGAAAGUGGGGGAUCUUCGGACCUCACGCUAUCAGAUGAGCCUAGGUCGGAUUAGCUAGUUGGUGGGGUAAAGGCCUACCAAGGCGACGAUCCGUAACUGGUCUGAGAGGAUGAUCAGUCACACUGGAACUGAGACACGGUCCAGACUCCUACGGGAGGCAGCAGUGGGGAAUAUUGGACAAUGGGCGAAAGCCUGAUCCAGCCAUGCCGCGUGUGUGAAGAAGGUCUUCGGAUUGUAAAGCACUUUAAGUUGGGAGGAAGGGCAGUAAGUUAAUACCUUGCUGUUUUGACGUUACCAACAGAAUAAGCACCGGCUAACUUCGUG
rnacentral:rRNA from 1 species